rnacentral:rRNA from 1 species
GACGAACGCUGGCGGCGUGCUUAACACAUGCAAGUCGAACGGAAAGGCCCUGCUUUUGUGGGGGGCUCGAGUGGCGAACGGGUGAGUAACACGUGAGUAACCUGCCCUUGACUUUGGGAUAACUUCAGGAAACUGGGGCUAAUACCGGAUAGGAGCUCCUGCUGCAUGGUGGGGGUUGGAAAGUUUCGGCGGUUGGGGAUGAACUCGCGGCUUAUCAGCUUGUUGGUGGGGUAGUGGCUUACCAAGGCUUUGACGGGUAGGCGGCAUGAGAGGGUGACCGGCCACAUUGGGACUGAGAUACGGACCAGACUCCUACGGGAGGCAGAAGUGGGGAAUAUUGCACAAUGGGCGGAAGCCUGAUGCAGCAACGCCGCGUGCGGGAUGACGGCCUUCGGGUUGUAAACCGCUUUCGCCUGUGACGAAGCGUGAGUGACGGUAAUGGGUAAAGAAGCACCGGCUAACUACGUG